rnacentral:rRNA from 1 species
GCAAGUGGAGCGACGAACCGGGGCUUGCCCCGGGGCAGAGCCGCGAACGGGUGAGUAACACGUGGGUUACCUGCCCCGAUGACCGGGACAACCCGUCGAAAGACGGGCUAAUACCGGAUGUGCCCCUUGGGGGAAAGGAAGCUUCGGCCUCCGCAUCGGGAUGGGCCCGCGGCGCAUUAGCUUGUUGGUGGGGUAAUGGCCUACCAAGGCGACGAUGCGUAGCUGGUCUGAGAGGACGAUCAGCCACACUGGGACUGAGACACGGCCCAGACUCCUACGGGAGGCAGCAGUGGGGAAUCUUGCACAAUGCGCGAAAGCGUGAUGCAGCAACGCCGCGUGCGGGAAGAAGGCCUUAGGGUUGUAAACCGCUUUCAGUUGGGACGAAGCUUCACAGGUUAAUAGCCUAUCGGAGUGACGGUACCUUCAGAAGAAGCGCCGGCUAACUACGUGCCAGCAGCCGCGGUAAUACGUAGGGCGCGAGCGUUGUCCGGAAUCAUUGGGCGUAAAGCGCGUGUAGGCGGCUUAGUAAGUCUACUGUGAAAGUCCAGGGCUCAACCCUGGAAUGUCGGUGGAUACUGCUGAGCUGGAGUACGGGAGGGGCGAGUGGAAUUCCUGGUGUAGCGGUGGAAUGCGCAGAUAUCAGGAGGAACACCUAUGGCGAAGGCAGCUCGCUGGAACGUUACUGACGCUGAGACGCGAAAG